rnacentral:rRNA from 1 species
ACAACAGUUGGAAACGACUGCUAAUACCGCAUAAGCCCACGACCCGGCAUCGGGUAGAGGGAAAAGGAGCAAUCCGCUUUGAGAUGGCCUCGCGUCCGAUUAGCUAGUUGGUGAGGUAAUGGCCCACCAAGGCGACGAUCGGUAGCCGGACUGAGAGGUUGAACGGCCACAUUGGGACUGAGACACGGCCCAGACUCCUACGGGAGGCAGCAGUGGGGAAUAUUGCACAAUGGGGGAAACCCUGAUGCAGCGACGCCGCGUGGAGGAAGAAGGUCUUCGGAUUGUAAACUCCUGUUGUUGAGGAAGAUAAUGACGGUACUCAACAAGGAAGUGACGGCUAACUACGUGCCAGCAGCCGCGGUAAAACGUAGGUCACAAGCGUUGUCCGGAAUUACUGGGUGUAAAGGGAGCGCAGGCGGGAAGGCAAGUUGGAAGUGAAAUCCAUGGGCUUAACCCAUGAACUGCUUUCAAAACUGUUUUUCUUGAGUAGUGCAGAGGUAGGCGGAAUUCCCGGUGUAGCGGUGGAAUGCGUAGAUAUCGGGAGGAACACCAGUGGCGAAGGCGGCCUACUGGGCACCAACUGACGCUGAGGCUCGAAAGUGUGGGUAGCAAACAGGAUUAGAUACCCUGGUAGUCCACACUGUAAAC